rnacentral:rRNA from 1 species
GACGAACGCUGGCGGCGUGCUUAACACAUGCAAGUCGAACGGAAAGGCCCUGCUUGCAGGGUACUCGAGUGGCGAACGGGUGAGUAACACGUGGGUGAUCUGCCCUGCACUUCGGGAUAAGCCUGGGAAACUGGGUCUAAUACCGGAUAUGACCUUCCAUGUAGUGUGGGGGGUGGAAAGAUUUAUCGGUGUGGGAUGAGCCCGCGGCCUAUCAGCUUGUUGGUGGGGUAAUGGCCUACCAAGGCGUCGACGGGUAGCCGGCCUGAGAGGGUGGACGGCCACAUUGGGACUAAGAUACGGCCCAGACUCCUACGGGAGGCAGCAGUGGGGAAUAUUGCACAAUGGGCGGAAGCCUGAUGCAGCGACGCCGCGUGGGGGAUGACGGCCUUCGGGUUGUAAACCUCUUUCGACAGGGACGAAGCUUCGGUGACGGUACCUGUAUAAGAAGCACCGGCUAACUACGUG